rnacentral:rRNA from 1 species
AAAUUCUGCCCUAUGAUUAUUUAAAUGGCUGCAGUAUUUUGACUGUGCAAAGGUAGCAUAAUAAUUAGUCAUUUAAUUGUUGACUUGUAUGAAUGGAUAAAUGAGGGAUUUAUUUUUUUAACUUAAAUUUAAUAAUUUUAUUUUUUGGUAAAAAAGCUAAAAUUUUUUUUAGGGACGAUAAGACCCUAUAGAACUUUAUUAUAAUUAUUUUUAUUUAUUAUUUAGUUUAUUAUUAUUAUUAAUUUUAAUUAUUUUUUUAUUGGGGUGAUAAAUAAAUUUAACUUUAUUUUAUUAUUUCAUUAAUAUAUGAUAAGUUUUGAUCCAUAAUUUAGAUUAAAAGAUAUAGUUACCUUAGGGAUAACAGCGUAAUUUUAAUGGAAAGUUCAUAUUUAUAUUGAAGUUUGCGACCUCGAUGUUGAAUUAAGAUAAGUAUAAGGGGUAGAAUUUUUAUAACUAAGUC